rnacentral:rRNA from 1 species
UUGACCUCGGAUCAGGUAGGGAUACCCGCUGAACUUAAGCAUAUCUAAA